AUACGGAGGGUGCAAGCGUUACUCGGAAUCACUGGGCGUAAAGGACGCGUAGGCGGGUUUGUAAGUCAGGUGUGAAAUCCUACAGCUCAACUGUAGAACUGCACUUGAAACUACAGACCUAGAGUAUGGAAGGGGCAGAUGGAAUUAGUGGUGUAGGGGUAAAAUCCGUAGAUAUCACUAGGAAUACCGAAAGCGAAGGCGAUCUGCUGGGACAUUACUGACGCUGAGGCGUGAAAGCGUGGGGAGCAAACAGGAUUAGAAACCCCAGUAGUCC
rnacentral:rRNA from 1 species